ACAGACAGAUAGACAGACAGAUAGAUAGAUAGAUAGAUAGAUAAAUAGAUAGAUAGUUUAUUGAUCCCGAGGGAAAUUCAAAGCAUCCAGUAGCAGGUUACAAAGACCAAAAAAAUCUGUAAUUAGACCUGAAUAUAAAAAAUAAAAAAGUGUUGACCUUC